rnacentral:lncRNA from 1 species
AAAACACUUUGGUACAACGAAAGAGAAAUGGUUCUCUAGCCCUCAAGUUCUCUCUUAACUCUUCUGCCUGUGUACAGGAACAAGCCCAUCAUCAUCUCAGCCACUGUGAGAGAACAGAACCUUCAACCUGUGGAGACCAGAACCGAGGAGACAGGAAGCCGAUACCACAUAACACUUGUGCUCCCAAGGACCCAGACAAAGGCAUGCCUUUGGGAAGCCACCAUUCCCCAUGACAGUGGGACGGCCCUGUGAGUCUGUACUGUGUGCACAGGGUGGUGUGCACAAUCCUCACAGGGGAGAGAGGAGGACGCCAGCACACAGCUGUACUUCCAGGUGGUUGCCCAGAGCCCUGGUCCCCAGCGGACAUCACCUCGAAUGCAUGCAAGGUUCUGUCGAG